UACGUAUGGAGCAAGCGUUAUCCGGAUUUACUGGGUGUAAAGGGAGCGCAGGCGGCUUUGCAAGUCUGAUGUGAAAGGCCGGGGCUCAACCCCGGGACUGCAUUGGAAACUGUAAAGCUAGAGUGCCGGAGAGGUAAGCGGAAUUCCUAGUGUAGCGGUGAAAUGCGUAGAUAUUAGGAGGAACACCAGUGGCGAAGGCGGCUUACUGGACGGCAACUGACGCUGAGGCUCGAAAGCGUGGGGAGCAAACA
rnacentral:rRNA from 1 species